GACGAACGCUGGCGGCGUGCUUAACACAUGCAAGUCGAACGGAAAGGCCCUGCUUUUGUGGGGUGCUCGAGUGGCGAACGGGUGAGUAACACGUGAGUAACCUGCCCUUGACUUUGGGAUAACUUCAGGAAACUGGGGCUAAUACCGGAUAGGAGCUCCUGCUGCAUGGUGGGGGUUGGAAAGUUUCGGCGGAUGGGGAUGGACUCGCGGCUUAUCAGCUUGUUGGUGGGGUAGUGGCUUACCAAGGCUUUGACGGGUAGCCGGCCUGAGCGGGUGACCGGCCACAUUGGGACUGAGAUACGGCCCAGACUCCUACGGGAGGCAGCAGUGGGGAAUAUUGCACAAUGGGCGGAAGCCUGAUGCAGCAACGCCGCGUGCGGGAUGACGGCCUUCGGGUUGUAAACCGCUUUCGCCUGUGACGAAGCGUGAGUGACGGUAAUGGGUAAAGAAGCACCGGCUAACUACGUG
rnacentral:rRNA from 1 species